UACGGAGGAUGCGAGCGUUAUCCGGAUUUAUUGGGUUUAAAGGGUGCGUAGGCGGGCUGUUAAGUCAGCGGUAAAAGCCCGGGGCUCAACCCCGGCGAGCCGUUGAAACUGGCUGUCUUGAGACGUCGAGAGGUAUGCGGAAUGCGCAGUGUAGCGGUGAAAUGCUUAGAUAUUGCGCAGAACUCCGAUUGCGAAGGCAGCAUACCGGCGGCGAUCUGACGCUGAGGCACGAAAGCGUGGGUAUCGAACAGG
rnacentral:rRNA from 1 species